UUAUUGCCGUUUAGGGUUUAAGCGAAAUCAAGAAAAUCAGUUAAGCAGCUCUGUAACUCAGGUGGGAAAAAGGCAAAAAAUAAUGGUGGUUGACAAAGGGAAGAAGCAGAAAGUGGAAGAGGAAAGCUACAUUGAUGAAAAGCUCAUUUUUUCCAUUGAAAAAUUGCAAGAAAUACAAGACGACCUUGACAAGAUCAAUGAGAAAGCAAGUGAGGAAGUGUUGGAAAUAGAACAGAAGUACAACAAGAUCCGCAAGCCUGUUUAUGAUAAGCGGAAUGAUAUCAUUAACUCUAUUUCUGACUUCUGGUUGACUGCUUUUUUGAGUCAUCCUGUUCUUGGUGACCUUCUAACUGAAGAGGACCAAAAGAUUUUCAAAUUCUUAAGUUCUAUUGAAGUGGAAGACUCGAAAGAUGUGAAAUUUGGUUACUCAAUCACGUUUAACUUUAAGCCCAAUCCUUUCUUUGAAAAUUCAAAGCUCUCAAAGACCUAUACCUUCCUUGAAGAUGGACCUACAAAAAUCACAGCUACACCAAUAAAAUGGAAAGAAGGCAAAGGCAUUCCUAAUGGCGUUGCUCAGGAGAAGAAAGGAAACAAGCGAUCCCAUGCUGAAGAGAGCUUCUUCACCUGGUUCAGUGAAGUCAAUAAAAAAGAUGAUAGCGAUGAUGAUGAAAAUGAGGUUCUGGAGAUUCAGGAUGAGGUUGCUGAAAUAAUCAAGGAUGACUUGUGGCCAAACCCUUUAACUUAUUUUACCAAUGAACCUGAUGAAGAAGAUUUUGAGGGUGAUGAAGGUGGUGAUGAGGGGGAGGACUCUGAAGAUGAAGGUGAUGAGGAGGAAGAGGAAGACGACGAAGAUGAAGAUGACAAAUGAACUGUUAAUGGACCUCAUAUUUGAUUUGAUUUCUCUUCUUCAAUGUUUCAAUUAUCAUAGUUGGUAUCUGUAAAGAAGCUUAAUAUUGCAGAUAAAAUCGAAUUAUAUAUAGUGGUGACUGCUUUUUU
rnacentral:misc_RNA from 1 species